UACGUAGGUGACAAGCGUUAUCCGGAAUUACUGGGCGUAAAGCGCACGCAGGCGGUGCGGUAAGUCUGAUGUGAAAUCCCUCAGCUUAACUGGGGAACUGCGUCUGAUACUGGAUGGCUUGGAUUCGGGAGAGGAAUGCGGAAUUCCAGGUGUAGCGGUGAAAUGCGUAGAUAUCUGGAGGAACACCGGUGGCGAAGGCGACAUCCUGGACCGGUAUUGACGCUG
rnacentral:rRNA from 1 species